GGGGUGUUGUUUGAGGAAUACCUUGUAAUUAGAUCCAAACCCUCGACAAUCACCAGCACAGCGCUGUAAUUUCAAGUGUCAAUGCCACACACGGUCUGAAUCAUGUUCCCCGUUGUGUUUUUGUCAAGGUUUGUCUUGCCCCACAAAAGCCAACAUUUUCAUUGGUUGUCCAAAAUAGUCACCUUAAUUUGCUGGAAGACAGGCCGGUUCGUGAACCUUCAAGUAGGGAAAGAGAUUUGGUCAAGAAACUCCCUGCCUCAGUUCAGCAGCCUGGCCAUCUGGUCUCAGAUGCAGGAGGACCCGGCCCACUGUGAGCAGUGCCACCCCUGGGCAGGUGAGCCUGGGUUGCAUCCAAAAAGCAGGCUAAGCAAGCCAUGGAGAGCAAGCCAGUAAGCAGCACUCCUCCACAGUCUCUGCAUCAGUUCCUGCCUCCAGGUUCCUGCUGCAAGCUCUCGUCCCAACUUCCCUUAGUGAUAGACUGUAACUUGCAAGCUGAAAUAAACCCUUUCCUUCCCU
rnacentral:lncRNA from 1 species